UUGGAGGGCAAGUCUGGUGCCAGCAGCCGCGGUAAUUCCAGCUCCAAUAGCGUAUAUUAAAGUUGUUGCAGUUAAAAAGCUCGUAGUUGAAUUUCGGGGUUAGUAGGCUGGUCAUGCCUCUGGUAUGUACUGGUCUCACUGAUUCCUCCUUCCUGAUGAACCGUAAUGCCAUUAAUUUGGUGUUGUGGGGAAUUUGGACUGUUACUUUGAAAAAAUUAGAGUGUUUAAAGCAAGCUAACGCUUGAAUACAUUAGCAUGGAAUAAUGAAAUAGGACGUUCGAUCCUAUCUUGUUGGUUUCUAGGAUUGACGUAAUGAUUAAUAGGGAUAGUUGGGGGCAUUAGUAUUCAAUUGUCAGAGGUGAAAUUCUUGGAUUUAUUGAAGACUAACUACUGCGAAAGCAUUUGCCAAGGAUGUUUUCAUUAAUCAAGAACGAAAGUUAGGGGAUCGAAGACGAUCAGAUACCGUCGUAGUCUUAACCAUAAACUAUGCCGACUAGGGAUCGGAUGAUGUUAAUUUUUUAAUGACUCAUUCGGCGCCUUACGGGAAAC
rnacentral:rRNA from 1 species